GUGUUGUAUGACAGGAGAGAAGGUUAGCACUCCCCUUGACAAGGAUAGAAAAAGCCCUAGUCUACUGGCAUUCAACACACAUAUGGUUAAGGCACAUCGUGGAUUCUUGAAUGUGGUCCAUUCUGGCUU
rnacentral:ncRNA from 13 species